ensembl:lncRNA
GGACCGCGGGCCGGGCAGGUCGCCCCGGGAGGCGCGGCAGCAGGCGGCCGGAUGCGGGCAGCGCGCCGCGCGGGGCCCCCAGCGGGACAGAUGGGGACCCCAGGGGGCGUCUCCGCUCCGGUCCGACUGCUCCCCGGGCCGCACGUCCGGAGACCCCAGGCUAGGGCCGCGCAGGCCGCCGGGAGGGCGCACAACCCGCAGCUGGAGCGAGGCUCGGGCCCCGGACCCGCCGCCUGAACACUGAGACCCUGGGUUCCCUACCCGUGGAGCCUCCAGUGCCCUGGGGACCCCGCGAGCACCCGCAAGGUCCGGACUUGGUGGCACCACGUGCCCCCGUGCGCUCGGGGCCUCUGAGGGGUCGGAGGUUUCGGGAGGGUGGCCUUUCUGCGGCACCGAGAGCACAGGGCCGGGCGGAACGGGGCCGAGCGCCGCCCGCGUCGUGGUGGCGCUUCUCGGCCUCCCUGCCCCUCUCCGCCCCAGAGGCGGCGCGCGAACGGUGGGAGCCUCUGCGAGCCCAAGGGAGCACCGCAGGCCGGGACAGGCGCUGGCGAGUCACCGGGACCCCGGCCGCGAGGACGACCCGCUGCCUGGCCUUGGACGGGAUGUAAACUUCUGAGCCUCGCCAAUCUCCUCUAUAAACUGAAGAUAAGGACCUGCCAGAGGCUGAAGGGAUACGACGUGCUCGUCUGCCGCCCCUCCCUCCGCGGCGGGGACCGACCGCAAGGCGCGGAGCCCGGGAAACCCAGGAGCGCCGGCCUGCGAGCCCAACGUGACCCAGGAGCUGGCGGCUGCUGGCGACAGCCAUCACUCUGAGGAACUUCUUCCUCACACAGCCUUCCCCGCUUUCCCAUUCCCAGAGGGCCCCCACCGCCCUUCCUCUUUUUCCCCUCUUUUUGAGGGGACCCUCAGCAGCCUAACCCUGACCCCGCCGCGGCGAGGGCGCGCCGGGACAGCGGAUCUGCGCUAGGCUCAUGGCGCAUGCUCAGUGGUUUGGGUUUGGGCGGGUUCCCGGGGCGGGGAGCCUGUCUUAAGAGCGGCCCCGCCGAUUGGCCGGUCUGCGAAGGCCACGCCCAUCGCCUGCUGAUGGACAUCUCCUUACCUGCCCAGUCGGCCUCGGCAGCGCUCGGGGUGGGGGCGUGAACGCGGCCUUCAGAGGAAUCCGGCCCGAGUGUCCUGAGGCGUCGUAGCCGCAGUCCCCGGGGUGAAGGUGGCCGCCCGUUGCGUCCCACCCUACAAGAAAGCCAAACACUGUCCUAAAACGGUAUCUUAAGGUAGUAGGGAAAACUGCGAAUCUGGUGCAGAAAGCAAAACACCACAGUUCCGGACUUAAUGGGUACAAUUGUAAGUACUGAAGACAUAGCAUGAUGUUAAAAAGAUCAAAAUGUCUGCCCUUGUGGAGCUUACAUUCUAGUGCAGGAGACAGUCAACACGGAAGUCAAACAAGCAAAAGAUGGAGCAUUUUGAUAGAGCCACCAUGGAAACCACCUGUUGACGAUGGAGGCAUUCAAGAUGGGAGGACCCUGGAUCCCUAAGUCAUUCCUUAGAGGAGAGCUCCUCGGGAUUGCUUCCUCACCAGGAACAUCCAUAUUGGACUUUGUGUGAUCAAGAAAGAAACUGUGAUUGUGU